rnacentral:rRNA from 1 species
AUUGAACGCUGGCGGCAUGCCUUACACAUGCCAGUCGAACGGUAACAGGUCUUCGGAUGCUGACGAGUGGCGGACGGGUGCGUAAUACAUAGGAACGUGUCCAGACCCGGGGGGUAACGAGGCGCAGGCUUAGCUAAUACCGCAUACGAGCUAAGGUUGAAAGCAGGGGACCGCAAGGCCUUGCGCGGUUGGUGCGGCCGCUGGCAGAUUAGGUAGUUGGUGGGAUAAAAGCUUACCAAGCCGACGAUCUGUAGCUGGUCUGAGAGGACGACCAGCCACACUGGGACUGAGACACGGCCCAGACUCCUACGGGAGGCAGCAGUGGGGAAUUUUGGACAAUGGGCGAAAGCCUGAUCCAGCAAUGCCGCGUGCAGGAUGAAGGCCUUCGGGUUGUAAACUGCUUUUGUACGGAACGAAAAGGCUCUGGCUAAUACCUGGGGCACAUGACGGUACCGUAAGAAUAAGCACCGGCUAACUACGUG